AUGAUUUUUCUUGGCUCUUCAUGAUGAGAACUUGGUGGGGUUCUUGGAGGUAAAAACCUCUGAAUAUGCAGAACCCCUUCUAAGACUGUGACUCCAAGGAGUUUUUAUUCUUGAGCUAUGUCACACUCAACUUACAGCAAUUUAUCUGAAUUACCAUUCAGGUGAUCCAUCCACUUUUUAGUUCCGUGGUUCCUGCUCCAGAAGACAAGGACAAACUGAUACAUCAUCAAAAGAAUUUAUUUAGCCAGAGUGAAUACAUUCUUCUUUAUCCUCAUUGUCUUUAUGGAAACCUCCAAAUGAGCAGCAGUGCACAUCUAUAAAGGAUACAUGGAUGAUUCAGAGAAAAAAAAGUGACCAUGAUUUGGAGAAAAUAAGGAUUUUUUCCUUUUUGCCAUGUCAGAAGAUUGAUUUCCACAUAAGUUUUAGGACUUCCCUUGAGUGAAGAGGCUAUUAACUCUAAAAUAGUAUCGAAAGAAGAUUCCUGGAAGCAGAAAGGUGAUUUAAU
rnacentral:lncRNA from 1 species